AACGGUCUAUACCUGCGGUACCUGCGGAAGGAUCAUUACUGAAGUGAUUUGGGGAUGUUGCUGGCCUCUCAACGGGGGCAUUGUGCACUCCUCGAAACAAUUCACAAUUUCCAUCACACCCCUUGUGCACACCUUGUAGGCACCCCAACCCACCUCUGGGUGGCAGGGUCCUAUGUAUUCCUUCAUUUCACACUUUGUUGAAUGGUGCCAUUAGGACACAUCUAAAGGAUUAUUUGUAAA
rnacentral:misc_RNA from 1 species